rnacentral:lncRNA from 1 species
AUGACAUUUUCCAGUAAGAGAGAUGACGAAGGCAAGGUUUUAACAAUUCCGUUUGGGUAUUGUGAUGGCAACCCAAACAAGAAGCAAUCUGGUUGUAUAGAGAGAACAAGACGAAACAAUCUAGCUAGGAAUUCCUCGGGUUCACCUAUCAGCAAUGAUAUCCAUACUGGAGAGAUGUCUUCAUCCAGGUUUUAUUGGGAAUUGUCAAUCAAGGGGACAGGAAGAUGACUAUGGGACAAGAUGGAGGAGGGACUUCAUGGAAAGCCAACAGGAAGGAUGGAUAACUGUUCACAGCACGGAGUGAACAAAGACUCAGAAAAGCUGCUGGGAGCUAUCAUCUGAAGCCCAUCCCUGAGAGAUGCAAACAGGAAAGACUCACAUUCCUUCAGCUGAGGAUCUGCAGACAGGGCCUAGACCUUCAACAGCUCAUGUCAGUCUCCCAAGACCCCUUCGAGUGGCUAUCAUUAUGACCCUUAUUUUACUGAAGAGGAAACUAAGAGUUUGGAAUUUAAAUGACGUUUUCAGGGUCACAAACUAGCAAAUAGCAGAGCUGGAAUGGAUUACUGCACCCUUUUCCUAUUGGCCUCAAGCAUAAAGAAUGGUUGAU